rnacentral:lncRNA from 1 species
AUCCUCAAAUGUAAACUCAAUUUGCCUCCCUACCUCACACAAGAAGCCAGAGAUCUGCUUAAAAAGCUGCUGAAAACAAAUGCUGCUUCUCGUCUGGGAGCUGGUCCUGGGGACGCUGGAGAAGUUCAGGCUCAUCCAUUCUUUAGACACAUUAACUAGGAAGAACUUCUGGUUCGAAAGAUGGAGCCCCCCUUUAAACAUCUGUUGGUAAGUGUACUUGAAAGUGCACUUUGGGUGCAGUGGCUCACGCCCGUAAUCCUAAAACUUUAAAGGGCCGAGGUGGGAGGAUUGUUUGAAGCCAGGAGUUCAGGACCACCAUGGGCAACAUAACAAGACUCCAUCUCUACAAACCUGGGUGUGGUGCCAUGUACC